GACGAACGCUGGCGGCGUGCUUAACACAUGCAAGUCGAACGGAAAGGCCCUGCUUUUGUGGGGUGCUCGAGUGGCGAACGGGUGAGUAACACGUGAGUAACCUGCCCUUGACUUUGGGAUAACUUCAGGAAACUGGGGCUAAUACCGGAUAGGAGCUCCUGCUGCAUGGUGGGGGUUGGAAAGUUUCGGCGGUUGGGGAUGGACUCGCGGCUUAUCAGCUUGUUGGUGGGGUAGUGGCUUACCAAGGCUUUGACGGGUAGCCGGCCUGAGAGGGUGACCGGCCACAUUGGGACUGAGAUACGGCCCAGACUCCUACGGGAGGCAGCAGUGGGGAAUAUUGCACAAUGGGCGGAAGCCUGAUGCAGCAACGCCGCGUGCGGGAUGACGGCCUUCGGGUUGUAAACCGCUUUCGCCCGUGACGAAGCGUGAGUGACGGUAAUGGGUAAAGAAGCACCGGCUAACUACGUGCCAGCAGCCGCGGUGAUACGUAGGGUGCGAGCGUUGUCCGGAUUUAUUGGGCGUAAAGGGCUCGUAGGUGGUUGAUCGCGUCGGAAGUGUAAUCUUGGGGCUUAACCCUGAGCGUGCUUUCGAUACGGGUUGACUUGAGGAAGGUAGGGGAGAAUGGAAUUCCUGGUGGAGCGGUGGAAUGCGCAGAUAUCAGGAGGAACACCAGUGGCGAAGGCGGUUCUCUGGGCCUUUCCUGACGCUGAGGAGCGAAAGCGUGGGGAGCGAACAGGCUUAGAUACCCUGGUAGUCCACGCUGUAAACGGUGGGUACUAGGUGUGGGGUCCAUUCCACGGGUUCCGUGCCGUAGCUAACGCUUUAAGUACCCCGCCUGGGGAGUACGGCCGCAAGGCUAAAACUCAAAGGAAUUGACGGGGCCCCGCACAAGCGGCGGAGCAUGCGGAUUAAUUCGAUGCAACGCGUAGAACCUUACCUGGGUUUGACAUGGAUCGGGAGCGCUCAGAGAUGGGUGUGCCUCUUUUGGGGUCGGUUCACAGGUGGUGCAUGGCUGUCGUCAGCUCGUGUCGUGAGAUGUUGGGUUAAGUCCCGCAACGAGCGCAACCCUUGUUCACUGUUGCCAGCACGUUAUGGUGGGGACUCAGUGGAGACCGCCGGGGUCAACUCGGAGGAAGGUGGGGAUGACGUCAAGUCAUCAUGCCCCUUAUGCCCAGGGCUUCACGCAUGCUACAAUGGCUGGUACAGAGAGUGGCGAGCCUGUGAGGGUGAGCGAAUCUCGGAAAGCCGGUCUCAGUUCGGAUUGGGGUCUGCAACUCGACCUCAUGAAGUCGGAGUCGCUAGUAAUCGCAGAUCAGCAACGCUGCGGUGAAUACGUUCCCGGG
rnacentral:rRNA from 1 species